AUCUGCCCUGAUGAAGAGAAUAAUCCCGGGAAACUGGGGGUAAUGCUCUAUAGUCCGGGAGGACUGGAAUGUUCUCCGGAUGAAAGAUCCGUCGCUUCAGGAUGAGUCUGCGGCCGAUUAGGUAGUUGUUGGGGUAAAAGCCCAACAAGCCUGUAAUCGGUACGGGUUGUGGGAGCAAGAGCCCGGAGAUGGAUUCUGAGACACGAAUCCAGGCCCUACGGGGCGCAGCAGGCGCGAAAACUUUACGAUGCGGGCAACCGUGAUAAGGAAACCCCGAGUGCCAGCACAGGCUGGCUGUCCACCAGUGUAAACAACUGGUGAAGAAAGGGCCGGGCAAGACCGGUGCCAGCCGCCGCGGUAAUACCGGCGGCUCGAGUGGUGGCCGCUUUUACUGGGCUUAAAGGGUCCGUAGCUGGAUCCAUGGGUCCCUUGAGAAAUCCAUCAGCUUAACUGCUGGGCGUUCAGGGGAAACUGUGGUUCUACGGACCGGGAGAGGUAAGAAGUACUGCCGGGGUAGGAGUGAAAUCCUGUAAUCCCGGUGGGACGACCUAUAGCGAAGGCAUCUUACCAGAACGGCUCCGACAGUGAGGGACGAAAGCUGGGGGAGCAAACCGGAUUAGAUACCCGGGUAGUCCCAGCUGUAAACGAUGCGCGUUAGGUGUGUCAGUGACCACGUGUCACUGAUGUGCCGAAGGGAAACCGUGAAACGCGCCGCCUGGGGAGUACGGUCGCAAGGCUGAAACUUAA
rnacentral:rRNA from 1 species